GCUUUCGUAGUGUAAUGGUCAGCAUACUCGACGCGUAUUCCAGAGGUCCGUGGUUCGAAUCUCGGCGAAGGCA
rnacentral:tRNA from 1 species